CUUCGUCAAUCUGCUGCGGGCAGAUGAAGUGAAUAUGAGAAUCAAACCCGCCUGCCGUGACGAUCUUUCCUUCGCCGGCGAUGAUCUCCGUUCCUGGGCCGAUGACGAUGUCCACAUUGGGCUGCACAUCCGGAUUGCCGGCCUUACCGAUCCCGGUGAUCCGCCCGCCCUUGAUCCCGAUAUCACCUUUGACAAUGCCCCAAUGAUCAAGAACAACCGCAUUGGUAAUGACGGUGUCGACCGCACCCUCGGCGCGGGUUGCCUGUCCCUGACCCAUUCCAUCGCGAAUG
rnacentral:sRNA from 1 species